UUUAUUAUUUCUGUAGAGGGUAUGAAUGAAGAUGGGUCAUUUAUUGGACAGUAUGGCCGAAAGAAGGGUCAAGGAGAAACCACGUCACAAGGAUUUGCGACACUUGUUUAAUGUGUCGCUUCACGGAGGACGGGUCCUUCAUUGGGCAGUACGUGCCCAGUAACAUGAAGCAGCUAGGUCUAUCUUCGACCAUGCAGGGAACAAAUAAUAAUGCAAUGGGCUUAUCAUCUAAAU
rnacentral:lncRNA from 1 species